rnacentral:misc_RNA from 1 species
GAUGAAGAACGUAGCGAAAUGCGAUAAGUAGUGUGAAUUGCAGAAUUCAGUGAAUCAUCGAAUCUUUGAACGCACAUUGCGCCCUUUGGUAUUCCUUAGGGCAUGCCUGUUCGAGCGUCAUUUAAACCUUCAAGCUAAGCUUGGUGUUGGGUGACUGUCCGCUUCACGGCGGACUCGCCUCAAAAUUAUUGGCGGCCGGUACAUUGGCUUCGAGCGCAGCAGAAACGCGAACUCGGGCCCGUCGUAUUGGCUCCCAGAAGCUAUCUUCACAAUUUUGACCUCGGAUCAGGUAGGGAUACCCGCUGAACUUAAGCAUAUCAAUAAGCGGGA